GGAUUUGGCUCAGUGGUAGAGUACUUGCCUAGCAUGUGUGAGGCACUGGGUUCACUCCCAGCACCA
rnacentral:tRNA from 1 species